rfam:Picoides pubescens contig71260, whole genome shotgun sequence.
AUCUUCCCUUCAGGCAGCACAGAAGGCUGCUGUGUCUGCUGUGACCAGAGGGAGAAGGAGCUUCCAGUCUGUUCUUAUUCACAGAGUCACAGAAUGGUUUGGGGUGGAAAAGC